rnacentral:rRNA from 1 species
UGCUUGUCUCAAAGAUUAAGCCAUGCAUGUCUAUGCACAAGCCGAAUACGGUGAAGCCGCGAAUGGCUCAUUACAACAGCCACCGUUUACUUGAUUCUGAUUAUCCUACUUGGAUAACUGUGGUAAUUCUAGAGCUAAUACAUGCAACCAAGCUCCGACCGUAAGGGACGAGCGCAUUUAUUAGAACAAAACCAAUCGGGCUUCGGCCUGAGGUUUGGUGAAUCUGAAUAACUGAGCUGAUCGCAUGGUCUUUGUACCGGCGACGCAUCUUUCAAGUGUCUGCCUUAUCAACUUUCGAUGGUAGUUUAUGUGCCUACCAUGGUUGUAACGGGUAACGGAGAAUAAGGGUUCGACUCCGGAGAGGGAGCCUGAGAAACGGCUACCACAUCCRAGGAAGGCAGCAGGCA